GGCAGCAGUAGGGAAUAUUGCACAAUGGGCGAAAGCCUGAUGCAGCAACGCCGCGUGCGCGAAGAAGGCCUUCGGGUUGUAAAGCGCUUUUCUGGAGGAAGAGGAAGGACGGUACUCCAGGAAUAAGGAUCGGCUAACUACGUGCCAGCAGCCGCGGUAACACGUAGGAUCCGAGCGUUAUCCGAAUUUACUGGGCGUAAAGCGCGUGUAGGCGGCUGGGUAAGUUGGACGUGAAAGCUCCUGGCUCAACUAGGAGAGGUCGUUCAAAACUGCCUGGCUAGAGGGCGACAGAGGGAGGUGGAAUUCCCGGUGUAGUGGUGAAAUGCGUAGAUAUCGGGAGGAACACCAGUGGCGAAGGCGGCCUCCUGGGUCGCCCCUGACGCUCAGACGCGAAAGCUAGGGGAGCGAACGGGAUUAGAUACCCCGGUAGUCCUAGCUAUAAACGAUGUGAACUUGGCGUUGGUGGGGUCAAAUCCAUCAGUGCCGUAGCUAACGCGAUAAGUUCACCGCCUGGGGACUACGGUCGCAAGAUUAAAACUCAAAGGAAUUGACGG
rnacentral:rRNA from 1 species